AUACGACUUUUUGGUUACCUGGCAACAUUUUUAUUAUGAAACGAACAUGCUCACAUCAUCAGUCACAUGCAACAAUUUAUUGGGGAUUUCCCCUUCACAUCUGGCAGUCCUGCUUGCUAGAAUAUAGAAAGAAAAAAAUGUCUGCCAAGCCGUAGCCGAAGCCGAUCUCCAAAUAUAUUUGGCGAUAGUGAGACCCAGUGUCCAGAUGAUUUACCCAGCGUCGUCGCAACAAAGAAAAAAACGAGGAUAAAGUAAAAGAAAAUUUACUGAAAGAAGAAACAAACUGUUCUAAAUGCUUAAUUUAUGGAGAAGAGGAUAAAAGAAAUGAGUAUUUCGGACUGUUAGUGGCUCAAGAAUUUAAAUAUAUACGGCCAUGUGUGCGAACGAGGUGUUAUGAAGAAAUUUUAAAGUAUCUACGGGAAGCAAAAGGCCAACAUGUUGAUCAACUGCAACAUGAAAACACUGAAAAUUAAUUACUUUCAUUUUAUUAUAUAUAGAUUUUUAAAAUUUCCUGAAAUAUUAUUAGUUAACGUUUUAUUUAAUAUUGUAGAAUUGAUCAAUACAAUUUAUAAAAAUAA